UAGCGUAUAUUAAAGUUGUUGCGGUUAAAAAGCUCGUAGUUGGAUUUCUGUUGAAAGCAGCCGGUCCGCACUACGUGCGUGUAUCUGGUUUGGUUUCGGCAUCCUCUCGAAACACGCUACUGUGCUUGAUUGCAUGGUGCGGGGUUCGGGACUUUUACUUUGAGGAAAUUAGAGUGUUCACGGCAGGCAAUCGCCUUGAAUAUAUUAGCAUGGAAUAAUAAUAUAGGAUCUGAUGCCUAUUUUGUUGGUUUCUAGGUGUUAGAUAAUGAUUAAUAGGGACAAUUGGGGGGAUUCGUAUUACGGCGUC
rnacentral:rRNA from 1 species